UACGGAGGGGGCUAGCGUUGUUCGGAAUUACUGGGCGUAAAGCGCACGUAGGCGGCUUUGUAAGUUAGAGGUGAAAGCCCGGAGCUCAACUCCGGAACUGCCUUUAAGACUGCAUCGCUUGAAUCCGGGAGAGGUGAGUGGAAUUCCGAGUGUAGAGGUGAAAUUCGUAGAUAUCGAGAGGAACACCGGUGGCGAAGGCGGCCAACUGACGAAUACUGACGCUGAGACUCGAAAGCGUGGGGAGCAAACAGG
rnacentral:rRNA from 1 species